GCCAAUGUGGUGUAGUGGUUUGAGCGUUGGACUAUGACUCUGGAGAUCAGGGUUCGAAUCACAGCUGGGCU